UUGAACGCUGGCGGCAUGCCUUACACAUGCAAGUCGAACGGCAGCAUGACGUGUAGCAAUACACGUUGAUGGCGAGUGGCGAACGGGUGAGUAAUAUAUCGGAACGUGCCCUGUAGCGGGGGAUAGCCCGGCGAAAGCCGGACUAAUACCGCAUACGCACUACGGUGGAAAGCGGGGGUCGCAAGACCUCGCACUAUAGGAGCGGCCGAUAUCGGAUAGCUAGUUGGCGGGGGUAAAAGGCCCACCCAAGGCUACGAUCCGUAGCUGGUCUGAGAGGAUGAUCAGCCACACUGGAACUGAGACACGGUCCAGACUCCUACGGGAGGCAGCAGUGGGGAAUUUUUGGACAAUGGGCGCAAGCCUGAUCCAGCCAUGCCGCGUGAGUGAAG
rnacentral:rRNA from 1 species